UGUACGUACAAGCAGUGGGAGCACAGGUUUACCUGUGUGACUGCGUACCUUUUGUAUAAUGGGUCAGCGACUUAUAUUCUGUAGCAAGGUUAACCGUAUAGGGGAGCCGUAGGGAAACCGAGUCUUAACCGGGCGUUAAGUUGCAGGGUAUAGACCCGAAACCCGGUGAUCUAGCCAUGGGCAGGUUGAAGGUUGGGUAACACUAACUGGAGGACCGAACCGACUAAUGUUGAAAAAUUAGCGGAUGACCUGUGGCUGGGGGUGAAAGGCCAAUCAAACCGGGAGAUAGCUGGUUCUCCCCGAAAGCUAUUUAGGUAGCGCCUCGUGAAUUCAUCUCCGGGGGUAGAGCACUGUUUCGGCUAGGGGGCCAUCCCGGCUUACCAACCCGAUGCAAACUGCGAAUACCGGAGAAUGUUAUCACGGGAGACACACGGCGGGUGCUAACGUCCGUCGUGAAGAGGGAAACAACCCAGACCGCCAGCUAAGGUCCCAAAGUCAUGGUUAAGUGGGAAACGAUGUGGGAAGGCCCAGACAGCCAGGAUGUUGGCUUAGAAGCAGCCAUCAUUUAAAGAAAGCGUAAUAGCUCACUGGUCGAGUCGGCCUGCGCGGAAGAUGUAACGGGGCUAAACCAU
rnacentral:rRNA from 1 species